GGCUGCCUACGGGGGGCAGCAGUGGGGAAUAUUGCACAAUGGGGGAAACCCUGAUGCAGCAACGCCGCGUGAGUGAGGAAGUAUUUCGGUAUGUAAAGCUCUAUCGGCAGGGAAUAGAAAAGAAGGUACCUGAAAAAGAAGCCCCGGCUAACUACGUGCCAGCAGCCGCGGUAAUACGUAGGGGGCAAGCGUUAUCCGGAUUUACUGGGUGUAAAGGGAGCGUAGACGGAAAGGCAAGUCAGAAGUGAAAGCCCAAGGCUCAACCAUGGGACUGCUUUUGAAACUGUCAAACUA
rnacentral:rRNA from 1 species